rnacentral:rRNA from 1 species
UACGUAGGGCGCAAGCGUUGUCCGGAAUUAUUGGGCGUAAAGAGCUCGUAGGCGGUCUGUCGCGUCGGAUGUGAAAGCCCGGGGCUUAACCCCGGGUCUGCAUUCGAUACGGGCAGACUAGAGUGUGGUAGGGGAGAUCGGAAUUCCUGGUGUAGCGGUGAAAUGCGCAGAUAUCAGGAAGAACACCGGUGGCGAAGGCGGAUCUCUGGGCCAUUACUGACGCUGAGGAGCGAAAGCGUGGGGAGCGAACAGG